CUGUGAAUAUUCUUGCUAUUCUGAUUUUGUAAUAAUCAGGGCAGGCUAAGCAUUCACUAUAUUAAGACGAUGCAUGCGUCCUCAGACCUAGUUCUUUCCCUAGGUCUGGUUUUAGAAAUGCUGGUGAUAAAU
ensembl:snoRNA SNORA72 Small nucleolar RNA SNORA72